rnacentral:rRNA from 1 species
CCUACGGGAGGCAGCAGUGGGGAAUAUUGCGCAAUGGGCGAAAGCCUGACGCAGCGACGCCGCGUGAGGGAUGAAGGCCCUCGGAUCGUAAACCUCUGUCAGCAGGGAAGAACGGCCACUGUGCUAAUCAGCAGUGAAUUGACGGUACCUGCAAAGGAAGCACCGGCUAACUCCGUGCCAGCAGCCGCGGUAAUACGGAGGGUGCGAGCGUGAAUCGGAUUUACUGGGCGUAAAGCGCGCGUAGGCGGUAUGUCAGGUCAAGGGUGAAAUCCCCGCGCGCAACGUGGGAACUGCCUUUGAAACUGCCAAACUGGAGUGUGUGAGAGGAUAGUGGAAUUCCAGGUGUAGGGGUGAAAUCCG